rnacentral:rRNA from 1 species
UGCGCAGGCGGGGAUGUAAGUCAGUGGUGAAAAGCUGCCGCUUAACGGUAGUCUUGCCAAUGAUACUGCAUUUCUUGAGUAUGGUUAAGGUAGGCGGAAUGUGCAGUGUAGCGGUGAAAUGCAUAGAGAUUGCACAGAAGGCCGAUUGCGGAGGCAGCUUACUGAGCCAUAACUGACGCUGAGGCACGAAAGCGUGGGGAUCGAACA